rnacentral:rRNA from 1 species
CCUACGGGGGGCAGCAGUGGGGAAUCUUGCGCAAUGGGCGAAAGCCUGACGCAGCAACGCCGCGUGCGGGAUGACGGCCUUCGUGGUUGUAAACCGCUUUCAGCAGGGACGAAACUGACGGUACCUGCAGAAGAAGCCCCGGCUAACUACGUGCCAGCAGCCGCGGUAAUACGUAGGGGGCGAGCGUUGUCCGGAUUCAUUGGGCGUAAAGAGCUCGUAGGCGGUUCAGUAAGUCGGGUGUGAAAGCUCCGAGCUCAACUCGGAGAGGCCACCCGAUACU